rnacentral:rRNA from 1 species
UACGGAGGGGGCUAGCGUUGUUCGGAAUUACUGGGCGUAAAGCGCACGUAGGCGGCUUUGUAAGUUAGAGGUGAAAGCCCGGGGCUCAACUUCGGAAUUGCCUUUAAGACUGCAUCGCUAGAAUUGUGGAGAGGUAAGUGGAAUUCCGAGUGUAGAGGUGAAAUUCGUAGAUAUUCGGAAGAACACCAGUGGCGAAGGCGACUUACUGGACACAUAUUGACGCUGAGGUGCGAAAGCGUGGGGAGCAAACAGG